GGUUCCAUAGUGUAGCGGUUAUCACGGUCUGCUUUACACGCAGAAGGUCCUCCGGUUCGAUCCCGGAUGGAACCACCA
rnacentral:tRNA from 1 species